GUGGGGAAUAUUGCACAAUGGGGGAAACCCUGAUGCAGCGACGCCGCGUGAGUGAAGAAGUAUUUCGGUACGUAAAGCUCUAUCAGCAAGGAAGAAAAUGACGGUACUUGACUAAGAAGCCCCGGCUAACUACGUGCCAGCAGCCGCGGUAAUACGUAGGGGGCAAGCGUUAUCCGGAUUUACUGGGUGUAAAGGGAGCGUAGACGGUAUGGUAAGUCAGAUGUGAAAGCCCGGGGCUCAACCCCUGGACUGCAUUUGAAACUAUCAGACUAGAGUGCAGGAGAGGGAAGUGGAAAUCCUAGUGUAGCGGUGAAAUGCGUAGAUAUUAGGAGGAACACCAGUGGCGAAGGCGGCUUACUGGACUGUAACUGACGUUGAGGCUCGAAAGCGUGGGGAGCAAACAGGAUUAGAAACCCCUGUAGUCC
rnacentral:rRNA from 1 species